UACGUAGGGUGCGAGCGUUAAUCGGAAUUACUGGGCGUAAAGCGUGCGCAGGCGGUUUUGUAAGCCAGAUGUGAAAGCCCCGGGCUUAACCUGGGAAUGGCAUUUGGGACUGCAAGGCUUGAGUGCGGCAGAGGAGACUGGAAUUCCUGGUGUAGCAGUGAAAUGCGUAGAUAUCAGGAGGAAUACCGAUGGCGAAGGCAAUCCCCUGGACCUGUACUGACGCUCAUGCACGAAAGCGUGGGUAGCAAACAGG
rnacentral:rRNA from 1 species